ensembl:snoRNA
AGGCACUGUUCGUGGCCUGCUAGCCUGGCUGUGGCUGGUGGGCUCCAUUCCGGUGCUACAGCAGCUCCAGCAGCUCCAGCGGCAUUGUGACUGAAUGACUCGUGGCUCUCAGUUUCAGGUCCUGGGGACAUGG